AGGAUUAUAGUUAAUUAUAACAUUUGAUUUGCAGUCAUAAAAUACUGUUUUACAGUUAAUCUUA
rnacentral:tRNA from 1 species